GGGGAAUAUUGCACAAUGGGCGAAAGCCUGAUGCAGCAACGCCGCGUGAGUGAUGAAGGUCUUCGGAUUGUAAAGCUCUGUCUUUUGGGACGAUAAUGACGGUACCAAAGGAGGAAGCCACGGCUAACUACGUGCCAGCAGCCGCGGUAAUACGUAGGUGGCGAGCGUUGUCCGGAUUUACUGGGCGUAAAGGGUGCGUAGGCGGAUGUUUAAGUGAGAUGUGAAAUACCCGGGCUUAACUUGGGUGCUGCAUUUCAAACUGGAUAUCUAGAGUGCAGGAGAGGAGAAUGGAAUUCCUAGUGUAGCGGUGAAAUGCGUAGAGAUUAGGAAGAACACCAGUGGCGAAGGCGAUUCUCUGGACUGUAACUGACGCUGAGGCACGAAAGCGUGGGUAGCAAACAGGAUUAGAUACCCUGGUAGUCCACGCCGUAAAACGAUGAGUACUAGGUGUAGGAGGUAUCGACCCCUUCUGUGCCGCAGUAAACACAUUAAGUACUCCGCCUGGGAAGUACGAUCGCAAGAUUAAAACUCU
rnacentral:rRNA from 1 species